rnacentral:rRNA from 1 species
UACGGGGGGAGCAAGCGUUGUUCGGAUGUACUGGGCGUAAAGGGCGCGUAGGCGGCCACCGCAAGUCGACUGUGAAAUCUCCGGGCUUAACCCGGAAAGGUCAGCCGAUACUGCGGGGCUAGAGUGCAGAAGGGGCAACUGGAAUUCUCGGUGUAGCGGUGAAAUGCGUAGAUAUCGAGAGGAACACCUGCGGCGAAGGCGGGUUGCUGGGCUGACACUGACGCUGAGGCGCGAAAGCUAGGGGAGCGAACGGG